rnacentral:rRNA from 1 species
GGGGAAUAUUGGGCAAUGGACGCAAGUCUGACCCAGCAACGCCGCGUGAAGGAAGAAGGCUUUCGGGUUGUAAACUUCUUUUAGGGGGGAAGAGUAGAAGACGGUACCCCUUGAAUAAGCAACGGCUAACUACGUGCCAGCAGCCGCGGUAAUACGUAGGUGGCAAGCGUUGUCCGGAUUUACUGGGUGUAAAGGGCGUGUAGCCGGGAAGGCAAGUCAGAUGUGAAAUCUGGAGGCUCAACCUCCAAACUGCAUUUGAAACUGCUUUUCUUGAGUGUCGGAGAGGUAAUCGGAAUUCCUUGUGUAGCGGUGAAAUGCGUAGAUAUAAGGAAGAACACAAGUGGCGAAGGCGGCUUUCUGGACAAAUACUGACGCUGAGGUGCGAAAGCGUGGGGAGCAAACA